AUGAAUACCUGGAAUGACAUAUUAUUACUAGUUAGUAGAGGCUCUUCUGUCAUCAUUAUUUACCCAUACACCGGUGACGUCAGAAGGGACGUGAUUUCCUCAUAUGAAAGUGAAAGUAACUGUGUAGUCUACACCGUUACAAAAUGACUGUAGAAAAUGUAGCGCACAUUUCUCUGCAACAUUAGAAGUAGGAUAAAUGUGUUGAUUUGAAGGACAGACGUACAGACUCUGGUAAGUCUUGGCUACAUAUAACUAUUAUAAAGUUAGGUCGUAGUCAGACAUUCAAUAGACAGAGUAGGCUUGAGAUAUGAUUCUUUAUCAUGCUGACCAACCUGGGCCCGUUUUCCACGAUGGAAUUUAGGCUUAACGCUGGAAACGCAUAAGAAGUGGUAAACGAUAAUUAACAAAAUACAAAGUUGAGUAAACGCUAUUUUACAAAUAAAAAGGUGCUUAAGCGCGUUUACGUGGGUUUACCCUCCACUACAUCCCCGUUGAUGUGGUGUGCAGCGUAGAGUGUAUAGUCAUUUAGUCUCUAUAGACCAGGUGGCCAGUUGGUGAGAAACUGUUCAGAUGGGGUGGUUUAGACCACUGCACCACCCAGGAGGUGACUGAAAGUAAAUAUGUGAUUUUGUACAGGAUCCAUUUUGAGAUGACAGAGCAGAAAACACUAUAUGGACAAUACUGACAAAUAAAGGGAAGCCUGGGCAACUGAAAUGUCUGAGCUUUUUCAACAGUGUAACUAUGAACAUCUGUACCAAAACCAAAUGAAGGGAGACAUAGAUAUGAUUAAAAAACAACUGUUGAUGCGACAUGAAAAAAAGAUGGGUGGAGGAGAUGAAUCAUAAACCCAAAUUGAGAACCUUUUGUUUGAUUCAGGGUGAAUUGGUGUGUGAGAGAUAUAUUAUGUAUAACCUACCUAAAAGCAAGAGA